rnacentral:lncRNA from 1 species
AGAAGCGAAAUACUCGAGGAGCAAGCUGUAGAACGCAGAAAUCCUGAGCAACACCCCCAAUGGUGGCUUGGAGGAGGAGACCCACUGAGAGAGGGCAAAGACGGAACUUGCAACGACCAAAAGAAGCAACUAGAAAGAAAACACCAGAAGAAAUCCCCGAAGGAGAGACUGAAAGACCGAACCUCUGAUUGAUGGCAGCUUGGACCCCAAUACCUGGGCGAAAAUUGAGGCCAGAGAGCUCCAGCGGGGCUAGAAGAGGCUUGCUUAGAUGCGCCAUGAGAGAUCUUCAGUCAAGGAUAGCACUCCAUCCUGAUUGACCAUUCUGGUAAAACGUCGAACAACUUGGGUGCAAGUUCGGUAGAGAGCAGCUCCGGCGGAGACGUUAAGGCGGACGUGACGACGAGCAGCGAGCCGGAGAUGUGGCACAGCACACACAUGUGACAGGCCGAAGAAUUUUGGAGCGCGUUGGCAUUCUUGAGGCUGAUGUAGGCCAGACUUAUCUAGGCCUUGUUUAUUAUAGUCUAUAAAGAGACAAAAUUUCACUCCACCUUUUGUCCCCUAGAAUUGAAAUCGGACAGUCUGUUUCAACGCUUAUGGAGAGGAAAAAGAGUAUAAAUUUUUUUCUAAGGUUCUCAAUAUAAAAUCUUCUAUUAUUGACAAAGUACAGAAGUCUAGGUGCAAACUAUUUGUCCUAUUAGCUCACUUUUAUUUUAUUCUUUAAUUCGGCUGAAAAUUGAUAAAUGCGUAAUAAUUCAUAGAAAAAUCUAAAAAUUACAAAAUAAUUUUUGUUCAACUCCACAUAUGUAGAUCCAUGC